CCUACGGGUGGCAGCAGUGAGGAAUAUUGGUCAAUGGACGAGAGUCUGAACCAGCCAAGUAGCGUGAAGGAUGACUGCCCUAUGGGUUGUAAACUUCUUUUAUAUGGGAAUAAAAUGAUCCACGUGUGGGAUUUUGUAUGUACCAUAUGAAUAAGGAUCGGCUAACUCCGUGCCAGCAGCCGCGGUAAUACGGAGGAUCCGAGCGUUAUCCGGAUUUAUUGGGUUUAAAGGGAGCGUAGGUGGUUGGUUAAGUCAGUUGUGAAAGUUUGCGGCUCAACCGUAAAAUUGCAGUUGAAACUGGCAGUCUUGAGUACAGUAGAGGUGGGCGGAAUUCAUGGUGUAGCGGUGAAAUGCUUAGAUAUCACGAAGAACUCCGAUUGCGAAGGCAGUUCACUGGACUGCAACUGACACUGAGGCUCGAAAGUGUGGGUAUCAAACAGGAUUAGAUACCCGGGUAGUC
rnacentral:rRNA from 1 species